rnacentral:rRNA from 1 species
GUGGGGAAUUUUGGACAAUGGGCGAAAGCCUGAUCCAGCCAUGCCGCGUGAGUGAAGAAGGCCUUCGGGUUGUAAAGCUCUUUUAGUCGGAAAGAAAGAGUUGCAAUGAAUAAUUGUGAUUUAUGACGGUACCGACAGAAAAAGCACCGGCUAACUACGUGCCAGCAGCCGCGGUAAUACGUAGGGUGCGAGCGUUAAUCGGAAUUACUGGGCGUAAAGGGUGCGCAGGCGGUCUUGCAAGUCAGAUGUGAAAGCCCCGGGCUUAACCUGGGAAUUGCGUUUGAAACUACAAGGCUAGAGUGCAGCAGAGGGCAGUGGAAUUCCAUGUGUAGCAGUGAAAUGCGUAGAGAUGUGGAAGAACACCGAUGGCGAAGGCAGCUCCCUGGGUUGACACUGACGCUCAUGCACGAAAGCGUGGGGAGCAAACA